UUAAAAUUCAGCAAAGUCGUUUAAUUUUCAAGAAACCUUAGACAUCUGAAGGACAACAUGAAUGUCCCAACCCUUUUACUAAUUUGCCUCGCUUUAUAUGCUCCGCCGAGAGGAGUGUGGCAAAAAAACUCUUUACAAAAUAAAGGAAAUAAAUAACAUAUGCCUGUGUUUUUAUUUGUAAAAUGGGUAGCUUAGUCUAUGUAAAAAGGAACAUAUUUACACAAAAAUAAAAGGAAAAUAAAAACAUUCUUCAAGAAUUUGAAUCAUUGAUUUUUUCAUAAAUGUUUCUAAAUUGAAAGUUUGACAUAGAAAUAAUAAUUAUUUGUUUUAUUUAAGGUAUAAAAUAAAGAAAUUGUACAAGACCGUUA